UACGUAGGGCGCGAGCGUUGUCCGGAAUUACUGGGCGUAAAGAGCUCGUAGGCGGCUUGUCGCGUCGGAUGUGAAAGCCCGGGGCUUAACCCCGGGUCUGCAUUCGAUACGGGCAGGCUAGAGUUCGGUAGGGGAGAUCGGAAUUCCUGGUGUAGCGGUGAAAUGCGCAGAUAUCAGGAGGAACACCGGUGGCGAAGGCGGAUCUCUGGGCCGAUACUGACGCUGAGGAGCGAAAGCGUGGGGAGCGAACAGG
rnacentral:rRNA from 1 species